rnacentral:rRNA from 1 species
GGGUGCUCGAGUGGCGAACGGGUGAGUAACACGUAAGUGAUCUGCCCUGCACUGGGGGAUAAGCUUGGGAAACUGGGUCUAAUACCCUAUAGGACCGCAUCGUGGUUGGUGUGGUGGAAAGGUUUUUCUGGUGUGGGAUGAGCUUGCGGCCUAUCAGCUUGUUGGUGGGGUAAUGGCCUACCAAGGCGGCGACGGGUAGCCGGCCUGAGAGGGUGUGCGGCCACAUUGGGACUGAGAUACGGCCCAGACUCCUACGGGAGGCAGCAGUGGGGAAUUUUGCACAAUGGGCGGAAGCCUGAUGCAGCGACGCCGUGUGGGGGAUGAAGGCCUUCGGGUUGUAAACUCCUUUCGUCAGGGACGAAGUUUUUUUGACGGUACCUGGAUAAGAAGC